CAUAUUGCUUUCAUUAUUAUCGUUACUUACCCUUGUUUUUGGGGCCUAGUGGAGCAAGAGCUGAGGUCAGUAAUUGCCCACUGGGAACUAUAAAUUAUAGUUCUCACGCCCUCUCUUUCUCGAUGUUUUUCAGAGCCUUCCACGCAGGGAGAGGCCAGGGAUCGCGGAAAGGGUAUCGCCUCGGGCUAGCGUGCUUACCGAGGGAUCGUUCGAUAGGUGGUCUACCUCUCGUGUUAUCUUUUUGUGAGAGGUUGAGAGUUGUACCCGUAUAUGUAUAGAGACCACCAUUUUUGUACUAGAGACAGAUAUUGUACUACUUAUGAUUUCCUUUAUUGUCUAUCCUUAUCUGCUUACUUUGGUGUAGAUGCUAGAACUAUUUUUGCUCUGAUAUCAUUAGUUGCCGGUUAUUUCACUUCUUUUAUUUGUUCCAUUUCUUGCUUUUCUUCCGCUUUUAUUGUAGACGCCUUAUAUGUGUAGACAUAUGGCGGGUCUGGGCACGCUACCGGGAGGGCCUCCGCCGGUCCCGGGGCGUGACAAUGUCACAAUUGCACAUGUAUAUACUUUUUAGCACAUUUCACAACUUUUCAUCAUGCAUACUUUCAUCUAGCAUACUCCACAAUGUCAACAUGCAUAUUCAUUUAUCAUAUUCCACUAUAUGUCUA
rnacentral:lncRNA from 1 species